rnacentral:rRNA from 1 species
UGCAGAAUCCCGUGAACCAUCGAGUCUUUGAACGCAAGUUGCGCCCCAAGCCUUCUGGCCGAGGGCACGUCUGCCUGGGUGUCACAAAUCGUCGUCCCCUCAUCCUUCUCGGAUAAGGGACGGAAGCUGGUCUCCCGUGUGUUACCGCACGCGGUUGGCCGAAAUCCGAGCUGAGGACGCCGAGAGCGUCACGACAUGCGGUGGUGAACUAAAGCCUCUUCGUAUCGUCGGUCGUUCUUGUCCGGAAGCUCUCGAUGACCCAAGUCCUCAAAGCGACCCCAGGUCAGGCGGGAUCACCCGCUGAGUUUAAGCAUAUCAAUAAGCGGAGGAGAAGAAACUAACAAGGAUUCCCUUAGUAACGGCGAGCGAACCGGGAAGAGCCCAGCUUGAAAAUCGGAUGUCUUCGGCAUUCGA